AUUAAUAAUUAAUAUAUUUAAUAAAAAUAAUUUUAAUUUAAUAAAUAUUUUAAUGGGGGUUGAAGUAUUUUUUAAAGAAAAAAUUUUUAAAUUUAUAGUUAAUUAGUAUUGUGAAAGAAUUUUGAAAUAUUAUGAAAAAUAAAAUUUUUAGAAAGUAAUUUUUAUUUAUUGUAUCUUGUGUAUCAGAGUUUAUUAAAAAUUUUUAAUUUAUAAAUUAAUUUCUCGAAUUUAAAAGAGUUAAAUAAUUAUUAAAGUUAUUGUAGCAAAAUUAUUUUAAAUAAUUACUUAGAAAUGAAAUGUUAAUCGUUUUUAAACAUAUCUAGUUUUUAUAGAAAAAAAUUUAAUUUUAAAUUUAAAAAUUAUUUAAUUAAUUUAUUAAUUAAAUAAUUAUUUAAAUUUUAUAAUUUAAGGGAUAAGCUUUAAAUUAAAUUUUUAUAAUAUUAAAUUUUUAUUUUGAAAAUUUUAUAAUUUAUAUUGUUAAUAAAUUUUAUUUUGUUAUAAAUAAUUUCAUUUUUUUUAAAAUUUAAAUUUUAUUUAAUUUUUUAUAUAAAAUUUAUUUAUAAUUAUAUAAAGUUAAUUAUAAUGAUAAAAUUAGUAUAUUAUUUAAUAUUAAAUUAAAAUUAAUUUUUGAUUAAUAACUAAAUUAAUUAAAAGGAAUUCGGCAAAUAUUUAUUUUCACUUGUUUAUCAAAAACAUGUCUUUUUGUUAUUUAAUUUAAAGUCUAAUCUGCCCACUGAUUUAUAAAAAUUGAAGGGCUGCAGUAUAUUGACUGUACAAAGGUAGCAUAAUCAUUAGUCUCUUAAUUGGUGACUUGUAUGAAAGAUUGGAUGAAAAAUAUACUGUCUCUUAGUUAAUAUGUAGAAUUUAAUUUUUUAUUUAAAAAGUUAAAAUAAUUUAAAAAGACGAGAAGACCCUAUAGAGUUUAAUAAAUUAUUUUAUGAAAGUUUUAUUUAUAUUUACUAAUAAUUUUAUAAAUUUAUUUAUUUUGUUGGGGUGAUAAAAAAAUAAAUUUAACUUUUUUUAAGUAAUUUACAUGAAUAAGUGAUUAAU
rnacentral:rRNA from 1 species